AUUCCAUGAUGAGGGCAUUUUCGUAAUAGCUCUUGUAUCGUUUUCAUACCUCAUACAAGGACUCAUCAUCCAUUUGUUGGAAAACAGUGAUCUCGUUCCUCAACUU
rnacentral:snoRNA from 1 species